GAAUUGACGGGCCCCGCACAAGCAGCGGAGCGUGUGGUUUAAUUCGAUGCUACACGAAGAACCUUACCAGGGUUUGACGUGCAAGUGGUAGGAACCGAAAGGCGACCGACCUUCGGGGAGCUUGCACAGGUGCUGCAUGGCUGUCGUCAGCUCGUGUCGUGAGAUGUUCGGUUAAGUCCGCUAACGAGCGCAACCCUCGCUGUGUGUUACAAGUGUCACACGGUACUGCCGGCCUUAAGCCGGAGGAAGGUGGGAUGACGUCAAGUCAGCAUGGCCUUUAUGUCCUGGGCUACACGCACGCUACAAUGGCCAACACAAUAGGUUGCUAAGCCGCGAGGUGGAGCCAAUCCUCAAAGUUGGUCUCAGUUCAGAUUGCAGGCUGCAACCCGCCUGCAUGAAGAUGGAGUUGCUAGUAACCGCAGGUCAGCUAUACUGCGGUGAAUACGUUCCCGGGGCUU
rnacentral:rRNA from 1 species